CUUCGCCAAGGCUCCAGGUUGAAUCUGCCCGCGGUGAGGAGGCUCAGGCCUGGAAGUGGAAGACGCUGCUAAAGUGGAGCAGCUCCGUCACUGCCAGGAGACCGCGUCCUGCCGCGGAAGCCUAAAUGACGUCACUUGCUUGGCCAAGACUGGUUUCCGGGUCUUCUGAUUCUUCAGUGUUUAUUUGAUUAUUAUUAUAGUAC
rnacentral:lncRNA from 1 species